rnacentral:rRNA from 1 species
CGUAGGAGUACGAAACGUUAUCCGGAGUUACUGGGCGUAAAGGGCGUGUAGGCGGUUUGUUAAGUCUGGCGUGAAAGCUCUCGGCUAAACCGGGAGAGGUCGUUGGAGACUGACAGACUGGAGGAUGGUAGAGGCGUGUGGAAUUCCGGGUGUAGUGGUGAAAUGCGUAGAGAUCCGGAGGAACACCAGUGGCAAAGGCGACACGCUGGGCCAUACCUGACGCUAAAGCGCGACAGCAUGGGGAGCAAACGGGAUUAGAAACCCCGGUAGUCCAUGCCGUAAACGAUGCCAGCUAGAUGUUCAAGCCGCGCAAGCGGCUGGGGUAUCGAAGCCAACGCGAUAAGCUGGCCGCCUGGGGAGUACGGUCGCAAGGCUA